rnacentral:rRNA from 1 species
AACACAUGCAAGUCGAACGGGGUAAUCCUUCGGGGUUACUUAGUGGCGAACGGGUGAGUAACGCGUGAGAAACCUGCCUUUCAGUGGGGGACAACAGUUGGAAACGACUGCUAAUACCGCAUAAUGUUUCGAGAGGGCAUCCUUUUGAAACCAAAGCUUUAUGUGCUGAAAGAUGGUCUCGCGUCUGAUUAGCUAGUUGGUGAGGUAACGGCUCACCAAGGCGACGAUCAGUAGCUGGUCUGAGAGGAUGAUCAGCCUCACUGGGACUGAGACGCGGCCCAGACUCCUACGGGAGGCAGCAGUGGGGAAUAUUGGACAAUGGGCGCAAGCCUGAUCCAGCCAUGCCGCGUGGAUGAUGAAGGCCCUAGGGUUGUAAAGUCCUUUCGGCGGGGAAGAUAAUGACGGUACCCGCAGAAGAAGCCCCGGCUAACUUCGCGCCAGCCGCCGCCGUAAGAC